UGUAGUGUAGUACAGGGUAGUGUAGUGUAGUGUAGUGUAGUGUAGUGUAGUGUAGUGUAGUGUAGUGUAUGUAGUGUAGUGUAGUGUAGGGUAUGUAGUGUAGUGUAGUGUAGUGUAGUGUAGUGUAGUGUAGUGUAGUGUAGUGCAGGGUAGUGUAGUGUAGUGUAGUGUAGUGUAGUGUAAUGUAGUGUAGUGUAUGAAAGCAUGUAUGGAUGUGCACAUUAGAGCUGCAGUCAGUCAUCAGGACUCUCCUGCUAAAGCUGAGCCCUGCAGCACUGCCUGCCUGGAGAUACGAGGUUACAGCGUCCUCAUGCCUCCGUGACCUCCAGCCAAAAACCCAGCUUUCAAGAGGAACAGGAGAGAGAGAGAGAGAGAGAGAGAGAGAGAGAGAGAUACAGAUAACGAGAAAGUGUGAGAGAUGUUUUAAGAGGAUGAGAGAGAGCGAAAGAGAGAUAGCAAGAGACAAGGUAGAGAGAAAGUGAGAGACAGAAAAAGAGAUAGUGAGAGACCAAGAAAGAGAGUAAGAGAGAGAGAGACUGAGAGAGAGAGACAAAAAAGGGAGACAGAAAGAGAGAUAGUGAGAGACCAAGAAACAAAAAGAGUGAAAGAGAAAAUAUGUGAAAGAGAAAGUAAGAAACAAAUAGAGAGACAAACAG